AUUGAUCUCAUUUGAGACCAUGUUAACCUAAUUGCUAGGUAACGAAACGCGGGGACGAAGUCGGAAUUUCGAUUCGUCGAGCGGGUCAAGAGCUAUCGGCAAAACAAGGCCGAUUGAGCAUCAUUUGGACUAAGAAGACCGAGGCUUCGUCGUAAAGGACGCCGAAGCGCAUUUCUAAAGCCUCCGUAUACACAAAAGGUGGGGGG
rnacentral:lncRNA from 1 species